GAUGUCUGGCUUGUGGGUACUGAGCGUUAAUAGCAACAUAACUUUUUGAUCCUUCGGUGACAGCUCUUCCUAUCAUAAUCAAGCAGAAUUCAGUAAGAGUUGAACUGUACAUCCACUAAUAGGGAACGUAAGCUAGAUUUCGAGUGUCAUGAGACAGGUU
rnacentral:ncRNA from 1 species